rnacentral:RNase_P_RNA from 1 species
CCAGAGGGUUGGGCGGCCGCGUUGCACUUCGGUGUACCGAGGAAAGUCCGGGCUCCACGGAAAUACGGUGCCGGGUAACGCCCGGCGGGGGCGACCCCAGGGAAAGUGCCACAGAGAGCAGACCGCUCACUGGUUCUUCGGGACUAAGAGCAAGGGUGAAAGGGUGCGGCAAGAGCGCACCGCGCGACUGGUAACAGAAGCGGCAUGGCAAACCCCACCGGGAGCAAGACCGAAUAGGGACGGCACAUGAGGUGUUCCGCC